UACGUAGGGUGCAGGCGUUAAUCGGAAUUACUGGGCGUAAAGCGUGCGCAGGCGGUCUUUUAAGUCAGAUGUGAAAUCCCCGGGCUUAACCUGGGAACUGCGCUUGUAACUGGCAAGCUGGAGUGUGGCAGAGGGGGGUGGAAUUCCACGUGUAGCAGUGAAAUGCGUAGAGAUGUGGAGGAACACCGAUGGCGAAGGCAGCCCCCUGGGCUAACACUGACGCUCAUGCACGAAAGCGUGGGGAGCAAACAGG
rnacentral:rRNA from 1 species